rnacentral:lncRNA from 1 species
UGCUCGUGCUAAUGAGAGAAACAGGCGAAAUGACCGACCUCGUAAUUUUGAUAGAUCCAGAAACUUUGAGAGAAGAAGAGACAUGCAGACUAACCAAAACAGUCAGAACCCUGGAUCCAACAUGCCACCGGGGGGGCCUCCCAACAUGAGGAAUCCACCGCCUCCCAACAUGGGCGGGAUGCAGCAACCUAACAUGGGAGGUCCGCCCAACAUGGGCGGGAUGCACCAGCAGGGCGGGCCUCCCAACAUGAGGAAUCCACCCCCUCCCAACAUGGUCGGGAUGCAGCAACCUAACAUGGGAGGUCCUCCUAACAUGGGCGGGAUGCACCAGCAACCUAACAUGGGAGGUCCGCCUAACAUGGGCGGGAUGCACCAGCAGGGCAUGGGAGGUCCACCCAACAUGGGCGGGAUGCACCAGCAGGGCAUGGGAGGGCCACCCAACCCAGGCGGGAUGCACCAGCCGGGCAUGGGAGGGCCACCCAACCCAGGCGGGAUGCACCAGCCGGGCAUGGGAAGGCCACCUCAUGUGGGUGGGAUGCAGCAGCCAAACAUGCCUCCCAACACAGGAGGUGUACCACCACCGAACAUGGGUGGAGGGCCUCCCCAUAACUAUGGAGGAGUGCCAAACAAUGCACCCAAUUUCCAAUACAACAGCGGAUCAAACAGUGGAGGCACGCCUUACCCAACAGGUCCCAGGCCA